rnacentral:ncRNA from 1 species
GGGUGCCCACCACAUCAGGUGGUGAUGCAGGUCAUUCAGGUACAGGUCGGGCCGCCUGUA